rnacentral:rRNA from 1 species
AACGAACGCUGGCGGCAUGCCUAACACAUGCAAGUCGAACGAGACCUUCGGGUCUAGUGGCGCACGGGUGCGUAACGCGUGGGAACCUGCCCUUAGGUUCGGAAUAACUCCCCGAAAGGGGUGCUAAUACCGGAUAAUGUCUUCGGACCAAAGAUUUAUCGCCUUUGGAUGGGCCCGCGUUGGAUUAGCUAGUUGGUAGGGUAAAAGCCUACCAAGGCGACGAUCCAUAGCUGGUCUGAGAGGAUGAUCAGCCACACUUGGACUGAGACCCGGCCCAGACCCCCACCGGAGGCCGCCAGUGGGAAUUUUUGACCAUUGGCCGAAGGCCUGUUCCGCCAUGGCCCCUGGGGUGAUGAGGGCUUAGGGUUGUUAAGGCCUUUUUACCCGGAUUAUUAUUGCCGUUCCCGGAGAAUUAGCCCCCGCUAACUUCCUU